UACGUAGGGCGCAAGCGUUGUCCGGAAUUACUGGGCGUAAAGCGCACGUAGGCGGGUUGUUAAGUCGGGGGUGAAAUCCUGGAGCUCAACUCCAGAACUGCCUUCGAUACUGGCGACCUUGGAGUGCCGGGAGAGGUGAGUGGAACUCCGAGUGUAGAGGUGAAAUUCGUAGAUAUUCGGAAGAACACCAGUGGCGAAGGCGACUCACUGGACAUGUAUUGACGCUGAGGUACGAAAGCGUGGGGAGCAAACAGG
rnacentral:rRNA from 1 species